UGGAUCGGUAGCUCAGCUGGAUAGAGCAUCCGCCUUCUAAGCGGACGGUCGAGAGUUCGAAUCUCUCCCGAUUCAU
rnacentral:tRNA from 1 species